GUCAGAGGCGAGCCGUGGGUGGAAAUCUCUUCGGGAGCGUCGGAGAAAAGAAACGGUCCCAAAAAAUAAAACAAAACUAAAAGGGCCCCAGGAGAGGACUGUGGCCAGUUAAUAGCAGCCCAUUGACACCAGACCAUCUGCUGGUAUGGACCGCAGCCAGGAGAGGACAGAGUCACUGCAAGCAGAGAAGAGAGACAGUCUGCAAUUCUCUCCUAAUGCUGUUAAUGUUGUGCAUUUGAACGUGUGAUGAUGUGUAUACUUGCAUGGAUAUGUAAAAGUUAGUUAGAAGGCGAGAGAGUAAGAAUAUGGCUGAAAUCAUACAUACCUAGAGAACAGCUGAGACCAUACAGCACUAGUCAAUAAUACAACUACUAGUUGUUUUUUUUCUAUCAUGGCCUUAUUCUUACAUUUACCUCACAAAGGCUGUUACCGUGUACAACUGGCUUCUCAAAACAGUCUCUCUGGGGACAGCCAGGCCACCUGUACUCUGGGAUGAGCUGUCACUUGAAUCAUCCAGUCUGAGGGUUGAUUUCUCUGUCAGCUGCCUUUCAAGCCCUCUUCUCUGACCUGCUCAGUCCCAAGUCUCUUGAUUGCUGUCGCCAUAGUGAUGGUCUCUUAUGCCGCCUGUUCUUUCCAGUCCCCCAUGUCCUGUCUUUUGAUUUUGCAUGACUUCCUUUUCGUUGAUGGUGCUUUAUAUGUUGGAAGUCCCUACAUGGUCAAACUAAAAAGGGUUUCCCUGUACCAACACUGUAUAUGAAAAUACAUGGUGUUCCACAGGAAAA